rnacentral:rRNA from 1 species
CCUACGGGUGGCUGCAGUCGAGAAUCAUUCACAAUGGGGGAAACCCUGAUGGGGCGACGCCGCGUGGGGGAAUGAAGGUCUUCGGAUUGUAAACCCCUGUCAUGUGGGAGCAAAUUAAAAAGAUAGUACCACAAGAGGAAGAGACGGCUAACUCUGUGCCAGCAGCCGCGGUAAUACAGAGGUCUCAAGCGUUGUUCGGAAUCACUGGGCGUAAGGCGUGCGUAGGCUGUUUCGUAAGUCGUGUGUGAAAGGCGCGGGCUCAACCCGCGGACGGCACUUGAUACUGCGAGACUAGAGUAAUGGAGGGGGAACCGGAAUUCUCGGUGUAGCAGUGAAAUGCGUAGAUAUCGAGAGGAACACUCGUGGCGAAGGCGGGUUCCUGGACAUUAACUGACGCUGAGGCACGAAGGCCAGGGGAGCGAAAGGGAUUAGAUACCCGGGUAGUC